rnacentral:rRNA from 1 species
AUUGAACGCUGGCGGCAUGCUUUACACAUGCAAGUCGAACGGUAACAGGCCUUCGGGUGCUGACGAGUGGCGAACGGGUGAGUAAUGCAUCGGAACGUACCCAGAGGUGGGGGAUAACGCAGCGAAAGCUGUGCUAAUACCGCAUGUGAUCUGAGGAUGAAAGCGGGGGACCGAGCAGCAAUGUUUGGCCUCGCGCCUUUGGAGCGGCCGAUGUCGGAUUAGCUAGUUGGUGGGGUAAAGGCCUACCAAGGCGACGAUCCGUAGCUGGUCUGAGAGGACGACCAGCCACACUGGAACUGAGACACGGCCCAGACUCCUACGGGAGGCAGCAGUGGGGAAUUUUGGACAAUGGGCGCAAGCCUGAUCCAGCAAUGCCGCGUGCGGGAAGAAGGCCUUCGGGUUGUAAACCGCUUUUGGCAGGAACGAAACGGUAUCCGCUAAUACCGGGCGCUAAUGACGGUACCUGCAGAAUAAGCACCGGCUAACUACGUG